CAUCUGCUGACCUCUCCCUAGAUGGUGUCCUCUGUGCUGCCACUGUCAACAGCUUCCUUGGUACAGAGUCCAUCAUUUCCAGAGCAACAGGGAACCUGGAAGAGUGCCUCCGGACAGGGACUUCCAUCGUCUGGCUGACGCAAUGCAGAGGGCUGCCUGAGGGGCGGGCUGUGCUCCCUGGGAGGCAGCAGUGGCCACAGUCCUCGCCUCACCGGGAGGCUUGGGGGGCCUGAAGACUCUGCGGAAGUGGUGGACAACCUUCCUUAAGGCCCAGUUGGUUUGCUCAGAUCCAGAGCAUGGAACCACCUACAAUCUGCUGAGGGAUGUGUUCACCCUGCACUCUGGAAAUACUACUGCGUUCUGUGGCGUCUUCUCAGCUUGUAGGCUUGCCUCCAACGAUCAGCGUCGCUGCGGCGUCUCGUGUUUCACGGGCAGCGCUCUCUAUUCAGUAAGGACGUGAGAACUCCUGCRCUCCCGGAGAGCCCAGGAUCCCUGCUCUGGGCUGGUCAUUUGAGGCCUCUGUGCGGAGCGUUCUUUCUAGUUACACGCCCCGCGUGAGCCUCUCCUUCAGCUGUUUUCCCAAGGUGUUGGAAAUGCUUCUGGGAAAUGCUGUAGUUUCCGAAAUGUUUCACUGUGCCCUUGCCAGUAGGGGAUACCGCGAGAGCRGGGAGAGGCAGCCUACGUCUGUGCGAGGAAAGAAGUGUGGCGCAAAGAAGGGACCUCCUUGGCCCACCUAGUCUGCUUUAGAGAGUUUUCUUUUGGACCUGAAGAUUGGGUCUGUGAGUGCCACGCGCAGCGCACGCGUUUGUUCCCCCCCCCYGUUCUUUUAGCAAGACUGUGUGUGUCCUUGAGUUGUUUGUCCCGAGGGGGGAGUUGCUGCAGGAAUUGCUGGGGAGGCCCUGACGGCGGGACGUGARAAAGACGCCUUUGACCGCAUGCAGCCGAAGAAAUGUAAGCUGAAGGAUCCGAGGAAAUAACUGCUCGCCUAGGUUUGCUGCCUCGCAACACAUUGUCAGAGUUUUUUACGAACAAUCCUCCUCGGGGAAGCGCCUGUUCGUUCCGUGAAUACGAGCGCAAAAAACGCGCACGUUACCGACCCUUUAAAGCGAGUCCGUGGCGCUGGGGUAGCGUGCGUAGCCGAGCCUAAA
rnacentral:lncRNA from 1 species